rnacentral:rRNA from 1 species
GACGAACGCUGGCGGCGUGCUUAACACAUGCAAGUCGAACGGUGAUCUUGAGAGCUUGCUCUUGGGUGAUCAGUGGCGAACGGGUGAGUAACACGUGAGUAACCUGCCCCUGACUCUGGAAUAACUUCGGGAAACCGAAGCUAAUACCGGAUAUGACACAGAAUCGCAUGGUUUCUGUGUGGUAAGUUUUUCGGUUGGGGAUGGACUCGCGGCCUAUCAGCUUGUUGGUGAGGUAAUGGCUUACCAAGGCGACGACGGGAAGCCGGCCUGGGCGGGCGACCGGCCACACUGGAACUGAGACACGGCCCAGAGUCCUACGGGAGGCAGAAGUGGGGAAUAUUGCACAAUGGGCGAAAGCCUGAUGCAGCGACGCCGCGUGAGGGAUGAAGGCCUUCGGGUUGUAAACCUCUUUCAGUAGGGAAGAAGCGCAAGUGACGGUACCUACAGAAGAGGCACCGGCUAACUACGUGCCAGCAGCCGCAGUAACAC